UUAUGGAUGGUUGAGGCAAGAACUCCUUCAAAAGAGUUAAUGGAAGUGUUUGAUAGACGCUCCCAGAAGGAAAAUACCUCAACAUACCAUUCGGAAUCCAAAGGGGCCUCACAAAUAGCACCUUCCCCAUGAGGGAUCCCUAACAGACUGGCUAGUUCAUCGGUACUGAAUUGGUAUUCAACAGCAAACAUUCUAAAUUGAACAGUACCGACUGUGCUAGCAGUGUUAGGGCAGACAAC
rnacentral:lncRNA from 1 species